ensembl:lncRNA
CAAAAAUCGUUUUUCUUUAGGUUUGCUUUCUUUUAGCCCUGGGGUUCGCCCAAAGGUUCCUCGCCUCUUCUGGCAAGGAGGGCACAUUUUUUGUGGAGCUGUUCCCCGAAAUGGCCACGGAAGAUCUGGCAUCGUCAUUACCGAUUUCCUGUUUCGUUAUGCAAAAUGUAUAGAGUGGAAAUGCAGCAGUUGGUGCCAGAGGUCGAAGCGUUCUCAGCGGGGGAAAGACAUGGUUUUCAGACAUAAGAGGGGGAUUUACUGCACGGAUGAUUUAUUGUAACUUCUUGUUUCCAGAGUUAUCUCUAUAAAGUACUUUAGGAGCUUUCCAGCAUGGAAAAAUUCCACCAACUUUUAAGAACAAGCCCGAAGCAAGAUGGCUUUGUGGCUGACAAGAGAGACUGCAGGCCCUGGUUCCACUCUGCAGCACAUGGCCUGCACAGGAUGUCCCAGGGCAAAGGGGAGAAGGAUGCUGAGAGCACGCCUUGGUAAGCUAGGAGACCUCUCAGAGUUUCCUAAUUGUCAGGCCCAAAGGCAGACGUUGCACGUGAAAAACUGUGUUUUUCAGAUCUUUACAUGCACAAGUUUGGUUUCCUUUAUGAUGAUUACAGUGCCUUUUUGUUUUCACUACGGGAGCUCUUUGGAUGUGAAGCACACUGUGCUAGCGGUGGGUUAAUUCACCCCAUUGCACCCAACAAGGACGGGAGCUGAGCACCCUCCAGGUAAUGGGAAUUGAGCAGAAGGAGCUGCCCAAGGUCACUGAGCCAAGGGCUCCACCAGCACUUCCUCAUGUGCAGGAACCUCUCCCAGUGCUCAUGUGUGGGGCCUCAUCAAAACUUCAGUCAAGGACAUGGGGUCACCUCCAAGGCAGGGGCUCGGCUCUGGGUCCAGCCCUGUGUGCAAGGCAUUAGACCCUGCCAAAAUGCAGACCAGAAAGUACAUGCCACCCUCACUCAUUUUAGGCCCCUCACUACAAGAAAGACAGUGAGGCCCCGGAGUACAUUCAGAGAAGGGCAGUGAUGCCGUGAAGGGUCUGGAGCACAAGUCUUAUGCAGAGUGGCCAUGGAACUGGGAUUGUUCAGCCUGGAGGAGUCUCAGGGGAGACCUCAUCACUUUCUGCAACGACCUGAAAGGAAGCUGUGGCAAGAUCCACAGCCUCCGAAUGUUCUUCAGAUUAUAUUUCCACUGCCUAAAAUGCAUCAGCAGCCAUGCUCAUUUCCAGAACGGCUCUCUGAAGUACAAUGUCCUUUCCAGAGCCUGGACAAUUCCCCUCUGAGCUGUCCUCCAGCACUUACUAACUUAAACUUAAUAGAAACCGCAGGCUCCCAGUGGCAGCUGUCAUCACAGCAACGAAGUGAUUAGAUCUGCUCUGUUGCCUAAUCACAGGACGAGAUGUGGCAUGCAUUCCUGCAAUCUGCUUAAGUACUCCCUAUCCGGAUCCUCUGAUUUCAAGGAUAGUCUUUGGGAAAUUAUCUUUAGAGUAAAUCAUUUUUUUUUUUUAAGUGCACUUGAUUAAAGCGAGGCAUCUAUCAUAUCGCAGAAUUAUUGAUUAUGAUAAGCACUUUGAACUUACCCAGUGUUUUUCAUCUCAGAAUCUCCUAAUAUUUUGUUGCAAGUGGAAAGGAUUAUUAGUCCCACUGCAGAUUGAAAACUUGGAGGAAAACUGAGACUCUACAUGAUUCACUGAGGAUACUCUAUCACAUGGUGGAGCAGGACCAGUGAGCUCAUGGCUUUACUGUCCUUGAGGAGGUCUACAAGUGAGAGGCCUUUUGUUGCAUUUGUUUAGGAUGGAAACCAGAAGUCUUCCCUGCAGAUUUUGGGUUCAACACAGUUUCCAGUGUGAUUCUGCACCUGUUUUCUGCUCGAGAACCACUGCCUUCUGUACAGGAACCGGGAAAGGAACUAAGUAUUACAAGGGGGAAGGCAUUUAAAAAGACUGUAUACAUCUCACUCAUCACUCAUACUCAUGAUCUUACUUGACCAUCAGUAUGUGCUUCUGUUGAGAUAUGUCUACCUUCGUGUCAAGUUUUGGGGAUGGAAAGCUAAAUCUUCUCCCUAACCAGUGCCUGUCUUAAUGCCUUUCAGCAACUGUGUAUUUACCUACUUGAAGAUGUGCUGCAGAGCUGUGGGCCUGUAUCCAUCUUCUGCGCCUGUUCUGGUCUGGGACAUGUGGUGUGACCAGAAUUGGACAUCCAAUCCCUUCCUUGUCCCAGCACCUCUUCUUUUAAGUGAGGUUUGGCUGGAGGUGCUGCUCACAUAGCCACAUUCUGCAUACAUUCUCACAGCAGACAAGAUAACGGUUAUCACUGGAGCAUACACAGCUCCACACAUCAGUAGAGGCCCUUCACACCAGAAAAGGGAUUCAGUGGUUCCUGCUGCUUUAUCUCAUCUGCACAUCCCUCCUACUUUUCCAUCUGUUUCACAUCCCGUAGUCGGGAGCUGAAGAAAGUAAGUAGCAUUCUAACAAAGUUGGAUCAGAAGAGAAGUGUGGUAAAAUUUAUAAGAUCCGUGUAGAUGGUUAAAAGUUGGUUCAAAAGAAGUUAUUUAAAAUUAUCCCCACACCUGGGGAAGCUGGAAAGGAUCACUUAUUUCCCCCCCACUCCAUGCAAUUUUUGGUCAAGUACCAGGAAGCCACAAAACUGAACAAAAAAUCCAGUGGUCAAAAGCAAAGGGCAGUGACUGCAACUGCACUGUCCUCUCCUCCUCUGGACUGGUGGGCCCUCCUGAUGGCUCGACAGAGAUCAGCCACGGUCCUCGCUGCUCUUCUCUGGAUCAAGGGAUCUUCCUGUGCUGAAACCCAAACCAGGACUUUAAAUAAAAGAAAAAUCGGGCUUUGGGGCGUGCCUACUACCUAUAGUAAGAAAAAACCAAACAAACAUAGCAGCAUGUGCUACAGAGAAACAAGGAACUAAAAGCAUGGCAUACCAGAACUUGUUUCACUUACGCAAUUCUGUUUGAAAACGUUCUGGCUUGAGCCAAGGGGUGAGUGAUAGCGAAUUGAUGGGAACCUCACCCUUCUGCUGGUAAAUAUUCAGCGAGAAGAGAGGUGGAGUCCAUAAACAAUCAAAAAAAGCUCUCCAAGAUUGCAGCAUUAUUAAAUUAUUACAGUCUGAGCAAUUUUUAAGCAGUGCAAACAUUUGCUUUCCAUUUCAUGGCUGGCUGUUGCUGACGACGUACGCGGUCUCUGUGGACACAAGAGCCCCCCCACUCUGUGUUUGCUUUUUGGUUUUCACGCAAGAGGAGGCUCAGCGCCCGCAUGUAGCAUUACAUGCACAAAGCUAUUUGCUUUUCUCUGACGUUCAGGUAGUUUUAAAUGGUAACUGUUGCUUUACAUUUAAUUUCUCAGGUAAGUUAAACAAACACGUGCCACUGACAACAAACACCGCUGCUCAUGGCUCAUUAAGUCGUGUUUCCGAAGCAGGUAAUCCUCUGCCUGAACACACAGCCGCAGUGGGGUUUAUGAGCUGUGCACUGUGAAGAGGAUGGGAGCACAACCAAAGGCCUCGGUCUUCAGGACUUCUGCAAGCAGCAAUACUUCGUCAAUUCAAUCUCCAGUUCAAAAAAUGUCUGUAUUAAAAUUCAUGGAUUUUCUCCCAUACCUUUUUCCUUCUAUUUCCCCCUUUCCCCUUUAUUAAGGGCCAGGGUCUGCCACGGUAAGGGUGAAGUGACAUCGUUCUUGUGAUGAAAGUGUUUGUUUUCUCCAAUGCCAGUGAUACAAAGGUAUUUAAUGCCUUGCACGUGGCAAAUGUUGAUACACUAACACUUGAACUAUUUAUAUCCUCAUCAUGCUGCUGCAGUAAAACUUGUCCUUUAGUUCGUAGUCCUGUGGCUUAUUUUGUGUUAGCAUACUGCCCUACAUGGCAGUAACACCGGAUGGUGCAUGCUGACAGUGUGCAAGCCAAGGUGUGUAGGCAGACAUAGCAUCAUGCAAUCACAGAAGCAUUGGAGUCCCAUAAAGCAAAGGACUCAUAAAUGUCAUCUAGUCCAACAGAGGGACACCUACCAAGUCAGGCUGCUCAGAGCCCUGUCCACCUUGACCUUGAAUGACUCCAGGGAUGAGGCAUCUACCACCUCCCUGGACAACCUGUUCUAGCACUUUGCUACCCUUAUUAUGCAAAACAAAUAUUUCUUAUUUCCAAUCUAAAUCUUCCCUCUAUAAGUGUUGCUUCCAAGAUAAGCGUCGCUUCCAAGUUUAAGGAAUAUCACCAAACAAGACCAAGUUUUGAGCUCCCAGUGCCAACUUCAAGUAUUACGUAGAAGCAAAAUUCCAAGCUCAGCAGAAGUGAGAGCAGCUGCUCGCAGCUGAGCAAGGCAUGAGUGAGUGAGUCUUCAUGAGGGAAGAGGUGGCACUGGGGCAGGGAAGUGCUGGGAGGUCUCCUGAUGCAUCAGCUGCGCAAUGGGAGUGUGGAAGGAGCAGACGUUGUAUUGUAAUGUGCACUGGAGUUCAGGUUCAUAGCAAACUUCAUUUGUUGCUUCAAUACCAGACCUGCAGAAAGGCUUCCGCUCCUUAAAACUUUCUUCUAUUUCCUUUUUUAAAAAAAUUAUUUCUUUCUUUUUGUAUUAUACUAUUUAAUCUACAGAAAGAUAUCAUUUCUACCUGCAAUUCUUGCCUCAUAAUGUUAUGUGUUUUUGUUGUUGUUGUUGUUUUUGCUGCCUCUUAACACACUUUAAAUACACAUUGAACGCAACUUACUUUGACCUGUGAUAACAUGAUCUAUUUUCUCAUUUCACAGUGUGUGAAGGGCACAGUAUACUCUUGUGGCAAAAUACUUUGAGGAAAGAAACAGAACUGGAUGACGAUUCUUGCAGGGCACUCCAGACUUGGGAAUAGACUUUUCUGAGAACAUCCCACAGCUGCUCUGCAGUUUUUCCAGCGUCCUUUUGAAGAUGUGUGGAACAAUUUCAGUGUUAGUUCUUCGACACAGACAUUGAAAACUCUUUAGUUGAGCUCUGUUUUCCACAUCAGUUUAGGUAUGUAUUCCAUUUGGGAUAUGUGAUCUUGUCUCUUUCGCCUUUUGCUGUUCCAGGAGACAGGUGCAUGCCUUGCAGACAAGCACAAGUGCUUCACUUCUGUAAAAAUGUGUUGUCAAAUAACACACUUAUGGAUCUAGAGCGGUGCUGUCCUCAAAUGUGCUUUCCUUCCACAGCUAUUUUCAGAAUCCACAGUUAAAAAAUGAGCAGCUGAAGUUCUGAUAAUCCCAAGCUAAAUCUAAAUCAUGCUCAUAAACCUAAAUAUAAAAUGAAAGGCAAAAUAUGACGAGCAGGGUUUGCGUAUGUCAGCUUCAUAUGCAAAAUCAAACAGGAAAUGGAAAACAAGAAAAUCAUCCUCAAGGAGACUCUAAUAAUUCUGAAAUUUGGGUUUUUAUCUUUUUCUUUUUUUCUUUUUUUCAUUUGAUCCUCUUUAAGGAUUAAUAUAGUGCGUCAGGAUGGUGCCUCCUAAACAGGCAACUUAACGGACCGAAAACAAUGUUAAAAGGUCUUAUAUCACAGUGGAAUGAUAAUAUUGGAACAAGAGGGAGAACGAAAAAGAUUUAACAGCAGUUACCUUUUCUGUAACUACAGUACUUGAUAAUGUCAGACAAGAAUUGUCCUGACUUUCUCUGAGGUCUGAGAUUGACCUGUAAUUCCAGUGGGAAGGAGACACAGAAAUGCCAUCCCACACUGGGUCGUAAGAUCUCCUUCCAGGAAUGCUCCUGGUUUCUCCGCCCCAGUGCAGAGUGUGGACAGUACACAUGAUGAUCACAUGAUACAGUGGUGGUGGCUGCAUCUCCAGGCAGUGCAGAACCCCCAAAUCUGACUGAAGCCACAGAGCUUCAGUGCAGGCAUGUUGAUGGCACCCUUUUUCUAUCCCCAGUGUCUGUUGAAGCAUCUCCUUCCAAAAGCGUCCGUACCUAUAUUCAGCUGCCUUCAUGCCUGUUACCUGAGGUGCUCAUCAAACCAAUUGCUGUGAAAGGCUAUCUCUGAGGAGUUCUUUGGCUCGAUAAUCUGUGGGAAUGUUUCUAAGAGCCCAUAAAACAGAAAAAGAUGGUUUGUUCAAAGACCAAAUCCCUGGCAAGUGCAUCCCAGGAACUCCACUAGUUUUUUGGCAGCUGGUCCCGCUGGCCCCAUGGAUGCUGUGCCAGGUGCCAGGCACAGUGCUGUAGAGCACACACAGGUGUUCUGGCCUUGAAAUGGAAAAUAUCAUUGGAACAGCGUUGGCAACAAUCCAGACAGUUCGAAAUAGGAUUAGGAAUAGGCAGUAGUCCUGGGAGUCAGGGUAACUCUUCCUGUGCCACAGGGCUGUUCCCCUUUCCAAGUGCCUGGGUUGUUGGCUCAUCCCAGUGCAGAACCUGAGCAUUGUCUUCUUCUUCUUAUUAUUUUUUUUAUUGUGAACUAAUUCCAUUGAUGAGUUAUUGAGCACGGAAAUAAGUUAUCUUAGCUUCAAGUUCUGGCAGCUCAGAACAGGGCACUGCUUCCUGCUCUGUCCUCACCAGCACCAUCAUCAUGCUUGAGGUACAAAUAUUUAUGUUCCCAUAAGAAGGCAACCCUUGGACUACAAUGACUGCAUUCAUUCCUGGAGAUCAUUUUAAUGAGCCCGAGCCUAACAAGGUUGAUCUGAAGAGGAGUGAGUGCCUUUGCCAUCUUCUGGAGGGAAUUUGCAGCUCUGCUUCUUUUUGCCUCAACUAAUCCUCGUUAGCUGCUCAUUCUGCUUUAAGAAGUGUGAGCUGGGAUAGGUGUAUGUCAGCUGGUAGCAACAUGGCAUGAACACCACUCUUAAGACCAACAUGUCUUCAGAGCUAAAGAUUUAUCUCCUUUAGAUAAGUGAACAAUGCAGCAACAGCAUAACAGCUCAAACAAAUGAUGAAAAAUCUAAACAGCACUCCACUUCUGUGUUGCUGUAUUAAAAACAAUUCACACAUGCCAUCAAAAUAUUUCUUCUCCUUGUCAUUUUCUUUUUUUUUUAACAGACAAAAGUGAUUCUUCCUCGAAACACAGCCACUGCUCACACACACGUAUAUAUUUUCUCCUGAAAACAAAGACACUUCUUUGAGUGUCUUUGUGUGAGUGAGUCAGGAGUGAGUCAGGGCAAAUUCCUCCCUUCAGAUGAGAACACCUCGUCAGUCUCUCGGCCCAAAGAAAGUACUUGCCCCCUUUUCCUUCCUGGAGAAUUGUAUCAGACCUACCUUUUUCUGUUGAUUCAUUCUGAGGAAGUUACUAGCUCAUGGCCAGAAUCUUGCUUGUGACUUUGCAUUUUUUACAUGGCCCUGGUGUUUCAGAGUAUUUUAACUGGCUGUGUGCAGUCUUAGCAUGCUUUGGCGCUGAGUGGGUCCCUUGAGGCCGGGGGCCAGGCUGAGCAUUUCCCUGCAGAAUGAGUCACUUCAAUUCCUGAGUUUGCAGUAUCAAAGGUCAUCACUGCAAAACUUUCCAGAACAGCCGAGAAUUUUCUGGAGAGCGAUGGGCACAUGUGUGUGCACAGCUGCGAGGCUUCCUUAGGAAGGAUGAGGAACCACGCACAGGUGGUGAUCUGGACCUCCGUGAAAGCUGAUUUCACCAAGGACAUAAGUGCUGGUAAUGGCUCAGGAAGCAGGAAAGGGCUCUGGCUUAUACUCAUUUAUUUUAUUGCUGGUGUUAACAUGCUGGUGGGAUAGAAGACCAUCCUGUGGGCACUAAGUAACCAAAGUUAAGUAAUGACUCAGGAUUCCCUUGGGGGCUGUUAGCACGUACAGAUGUCUUCUCCCCUUUUUCACAUGAUUUCAAAAUAAUUUAUUUUAAAUGAUUGGGAAUACCUAUUAAGGAAGCUGUUCGUUAGGCUGGACUGGCUGAGGUUCAGUGCUUCCCAAUUCUGUCCUUUGCGUUUUGCAUAGGAUCACUUCCACAAAAUCCUUCCUCUCUUCAAGAGAAAACAGGUACUGUAAUAUUUAUCAUUACUUUUUUUUAUCACUGAAUCAUUAAAAUUCCCCCCCCCCAGCUCUGUAUAAUUUAAUAAAACCCCAUCAUAAAACUGUCUUAGAAUGUUUGCUAGGCUGGGUGAAAAGGGCAACUCAUUUCUCUUUGAAAUGAGAUCUUGUUUGCAGCCUCUGCAAUCUUCGUACAUGAAACUUUACAAAGCAAAUGAAAAAUAAAAUCAUUUGUUCGUGGAAGAAGUUGUAAGACGUCUGCAAAACUUUGCAAGUGUGUGAAAAGUGAAUUGUUUUGGAUGUCUGUGGUGGAGAAGUGAAAGCUACAUUGUAUUAGCCUGACGAAGAGAUAAAGAAAUGAAACCGGGAAAGACCUUGCAGAGUAACGCCUGUAGUUUUAUCUCUGUGCUAUUACAGUAUGUAAUAACUGACUGUCCGCAGAGAGGGACAGCAG